UACGAAGGGGGCUAGCGUUGUUCGGAAUUACUGGGCGUAAAGCGUGCGCAGGCGGCUUCUCAAGUCAGGGGUGAAAGCCCAGAGCUCAACUCUGGAAUUGCCUUUGAGACUGAGUGGCUUGAGUACGAGAGAGGUGAGUGGAAUUCCCAGUGUAGAGGUGAAAUACAUAGAGAUGUCAUAGAACACCGAUUGCGAAGGCAGCUGACGAAACUAUAACUGACACUGAGGCUCGAAAGUGUGGGGAUCAAACAGG
rnacentral:rRNA from 1 species